rnacentral:rRNA from 1 species
ACACUCCUACGGGAGGCAGCAGUGGGGAAUAUUGCACAAUGGGCGCAAGCCUGAUGCAGCCAUGCCGCGUGUAUGAAGAAGGCCUUCGGGUUGUAAAGUACUUUCAGCGGGGAGGAAGGCGAUAAGGUUAAUAACCUUGUCGAUUGACGUUACCCGCAGAAGAAGCACCGGCUAACUCCGUGCCAGCAGCAGCGGUAAUACGGAGGGUGCAAGCGUUAAUCGGAAUUACUGGGCGUAAAGCGCACGCAGGCGGUCUGUCAAGUCGGAUGUGAAAUCCCCGGGCUCAACCUGGGAACUGCAUUCGAAACUGGCAGGCUAGAGUCUUGUAGAGGGGGGUAGAAUUCCAGGUGUAGCGGUGAAAUGCGUAGAGAUCUGGAGGAAUACCGGUGGCGAAGGCGGCCCCCUGGACAAAGACUGACGCUCAGGUGCGAAAGCGUGGGGAGCAAACAGGAUUAGAAACCCCGGUAGUCCCAUGA